rnacentral:RNase_P_RNA from 1 species
GCGGAUGGCCGGAUGGCCGCGGGCGGCAACGCUCGAGGAAAGUCCGGACUCCACAAGGCAACGGUGCCGGGUAACGCCCGGCCGGGGCAACCCGAGGGAAAGCGCCACAGAGAACAGACCGCUCCGCAUGCCGGAGCAAGGGUGAAACGGUGGGGCAAGGGCCCACCGCGGAGCUGGCAACAGUUCCGGCACGGCAAGCCCCACCGGGAGCAAUGCCAAAUAGGGACCUCACAUGGGCGGCCUUGGCCCGAGGUCCGGGUCGGCAGCACGAGCGCGCGGGCAACCGUGCGCCCAGAGGCAUGGCCAUCGAAGGGGGCGACCCCGGAACAGAAUCCGGCUUACAGGCCAUCCGCGCGC